rnacentral:ncRNA from 2 species
GGAACCCGGUGCGAAUCCGGGACUGACCCGCAACGGUAUCCGCCCCCGCCGGGGAC